AUUGAACGCUGGCGGCAUGCUUUACACAUGCAAGUCGAACGGUAACAGGCCGCAAGGUGCUGACGAGUGGCGAACGGGUGAGUAAUGCAUCGGAACGUGCCCAGUCGUGGGGGAUAACUACUCGAAAGAGUAGCUAAUACCGCAUACGAUCUAUGGAUGAAAGCGGGGGACCGUAAGGCCUCGCGCGAUUGGAGCGGCCGAUGUCAGAUUAGGUAGUUGGUGGGGUAAAGGCUCACCAAGCCAACGAUCUGUAGCUGGUCUGAGAGGACAACCAGCCACACUGGGACUGAGGCACGGCCCAGACUCCUACGGGAGGCAGCAGUGGGGAAUUUUGGACAAUGGGCGCAAGCCUGAUCCAGCAAUGCCGCGUGCAGGAAGAAGGCCUUCGGGUUGUAAACUGCUUUUGUACGGAACGAAACGGCUCUGGUUAAUACCCGGGGCUAAUGACGGUACCGUAAGAAUAAGCACCGGCUAACUACGUG
rnacentral:rRNA from 1 species